rnacentral:rRNA from 1 species
AUUGAACGCUGGCGGCAGGCCUAACACAUGCAAGUCGAACGAGUGGCGGACGGGUGAGUAAUGUCUGGGAAACUGCCUGAUGGCGGGGGAUAACUACUGGAAACGGUAGCUAAUACCGCAUACCAUCGGAUGUGCCCAGAUGGGAUUAGCUAGUAGGUGGGGUAAAGGCUCACCAAGGCAACGAUCCCUAGCUGGUCUGAGAGGAUGACCAGCCACACUGGAACUGAGACACGGUCCAGACUCCUACGGGAGGCAGCAGUGGGGAAUAUUGCACAAUGGGCGAAACCCUGAUGCAGCCAUGCCGCGUGUAUGAAGAAGGCCUUCGGGUUGUAAAGUACUUUUAGCAGGGAGGCGGUAUCCGCAGAAUAAGCACCGGCUAACUCCGUGCCAGCAGCCGCGGUAAUUC